rnacentral:rRNA from 1 species
UACGUAGGGUGCGAGCGUUAAUCGGAAUUACUGGGCGUAAAGCGUGCGCAGGCGGUUCGUUAAGUCAGAUGUGAAAGCCCCGGGCUCAACCUGGGAACUGCAUUUAAACUGGCGGGCUUGAGUAUGGCAGAGGGGGGUGGAAUUCCGCGUGUAGCAGUGAAAUGCGUAGAUAUCGGGAGGAACACCAGUGGCGAAGGCGACUUCCUGGCCUGUUCUUGACGCUGAGGCGCGAAAGCUAGGGGAGCAAACGGG